UGGGUUGUGGCUCAGUGGUAGAGCACUCACCUAGCAUGUGCAAGGCCUGGGUUCUAUCCUCAGCACCACAU
rfam:Ictidomys tridecemlineatus contig068077, whole genome shotgun sequence.